AGGCAUUCAGGCAGCGAGCACAGGCACCUGGUGAGGCAGGAGACUCAGCCUGAGGCAUUCGCAGAUAAGUUUCUAUUUAAAAAGAUUUAAAAGGAAACUAGAACUCUAAACUUAAUAGAGUAGCUUACUGAGAUAAUAAUAUUUUAAUAUUAAGAUUUUAAAAGAAAAGUAUGGAGGUUUAUUUAAACAAUUUGAAAAAGGAAAAGAGAAAAAUUUUUGUACCACCAGAUGGAGGCUGACCUGAGGCGUUUAUUCAGAGUAGUUUAGAAGAUUGUAAAAGGGAGCAAUUGUGGAGUUUCAAAGGUUCUAGCUUGAGGGUCAGCCUUGUUAGGUGUACUUUUAAACGAAGGUUACCUAAACAGAAUCUAAAUGGCUUUUUAAAAUUGUAAAGUUGUAGAUAAUAGUUUGAAAAUGAGAUGUAGUUUAAAAAGAUUGAAAAAAGUAAGUUGAAGGGCCGUUAUAAGAGUCGACUGUCGCAUGUACGAAGGCAUGAGUUGGAAACGGGGAAUGGAAGUGGUAGGGUUAGUAUUUUGAGAAAGAAGAUUAGAAAAUGGAAGUGGAAAAAUGAAGACAAGUUCAGGAAGGUGAAGAAAAGCUGUAGAGAAGAUAGGAAAAUAGAAGACCGAAGAAUCAUUAGAAGACAGAAAAGGUAUUUAAACACACAGGUAGGAAGAAAACUAGAAGAUAGAAAAAAA
rnacentral:lncRNA from 14 species